GUGCCAGCGCCGCGGUAAUACCGGCAGCCCGAGUGAUGGCCGAUAUUAUUGGGCCUAAAGCGUCCGUAGCUGGCCAGACAAGUCCGUUGGGAAAUCCACGCGCUCAACGCGUGGGCGUCCAGCGGAAACCACUCGGCUUGGGGCCGGAGGACUCGAGGGGUACGUCUGGGGUAGGAGUGAAAUCCCGUAAUCCUGGACGGACCGCCGAUGGCGAAAGCACCUCGAGAGGACGGACCCGACAGUGAGGGACGAAAGCCAGGGUCUCGAACCGGAUUAGAAACCCGGGUAGUCC
rnacentral:rRNA from 1 species